rnacentral:rRNA from 1 species
GAUGAACGCUAGCGGCAGGCCUAAUACAUGCAAGUCGAACGGUGUCUUCGGACAUAGUGGCGCACGGGUGCGUAACACGUAUGCAACCUACCUUACCUUGGGGGAUAGCCUUUCGAAAGGGAGAUUAAUACCGCAUAAGACAGUAGCUGGGCAUCCAGCAGCUGUUAAAGAUUUAUCGAUGUAAGCUGGGCAUGCGUCCAAUUAGCUAGUUGGUGAGGUAACGGCUCACCAAGGGAAUGAUUGGUAGGGGAACUGAGAGGUCAAUCCCCCACACUGGCACUGAGAUACGGGCCAGACUCCUACGGGAGGCAGCAGUAGGGAAUAUUGGGCAAUGGACGCAAGUCUGACCCAGCCAUGCCGCGUGCAGGAUGAAGGCGUUAUGCGUUGUAAACUGCUUUUAUACAGGAAGAAACGACUCUUGCGAGAGGCAUUGACGGUACUGUAUGAAUAAGCACCGGCUAACUCCGUGCCAGCCGCCGCGGUAAGAC